CCUACGGGAGGCAGCAGUAAGGAAUAUUGGACAAUGGACGCAAGUCUGAUCCAGCCAUGCCGCGUGAAGGAUUAAGGCCCUCUGGGUUGUAAACUUCUUUUAUAGGGGACGAAAAAAGGGCUUUCUAGCUCGACUGACGGUACCCUAUGAAUAAGCACCGGCUAACUCCGUGCCAGCAGCCGCGGUAAUACGGAGGGUGCAAGCGUUAUCCGGAUUCACUGGGUUUAAAGGGUGCGUAGGCGGGCAUUUAAGUCAGUGGUGAAGUCUUCGAGCUCAACUCGGAAACUGCCAUUGAUACUAUUUGUCUUGAAUAUUGUGGAGGUGAGCGGAAUAUGUCAUGUAGCGGUGAAAUGCUUAGAUAUGACAUAGAACACCGAUUGCGAAGGCAGCUCGCUACACAAAUAUUGACGCUGAGGCACGAAAGCGUGGGGAUCAAACAGGAUUAGAUACCCUGGUAGUCCACGCCCUAAACUAUGGAUACUCGACAUUUGCGAUACACAGUAAGUGUCUGAGCGAAAGCAUUAAGUAUCCCACCUGGAAGUACGACCGCAAGGUUGAAACGUCAAAUGAAAUUGACGG
rnacentral:rRNA from 1 species